rnacentral:lncRNA from 1 species
ACAAUAAGAAUACAUAUUUCUAUUCCACAUUUUAAAGGCUCGAUAUGAUGUCAGAAUAGGUAUAGAGGAAACAAGAAAUACAUAACAUAAAGAAUGUGAGGUGUGUUGAAACACACUCUUAAACGAAUGAAUGACUGGCAUUGUAAUUGAGAGAAACACUCGUCUCAAAUUAUAAUAGACUUUUUACCAAUUUUUGAAGCAACAUUCUUAUUUAAAGAAUAUAAUAGUUAAUAGUGGAGCAGAAAAGGAGUGCCAUUCUAGAGACGGAAAUAGCUAAGUAAACCAAGAAUGUUUUGCAGCGGCCUGUUGCUGAGUUCAACCAUUAUACUUUGAAACAUCCUUUCUAGUGCAAAAUGCUGGAGCAGGAAAAAGCUUGCUGUCACUUGGUGAAUAAAUAAAAAAUAUAUUUCUCGAGCUACUGAAGCACUCUAGUUUUAAGUGAUUUAUACUCUGUUCAAAGUAGUACAUGUAUAUUCUUCUAUUUCUGGCAAAUUACCCGUUCAAUAUAUGCAUAUGCGGUCACUUCUUCCAUUGAGGCAACCUCUGCACCACUACCUGUACAUAUCAUCGAACUACCAUUGUAUGAGCGAGCGCUAAAAUUGCAGACAGACAGUUGUUCAUUUUUAGUUGUUUACCCACAUGUUUAGGACCUUGAGAUGAUAAUAACGUCUGACUUGAAUUUGUUGGGAAUAAAACCCCUACCAAAAUAAUAUUCACGGUAAUAAAAGCGGAAUAAUAAUGUA